UAAACAAUGUCUCCAAUUAGCAGUGUGGAAUUUUGAACUUGGGUUUACAUAGCUUGACUUUGAAGUCACCGUGCUCUAUAGCCAGUGUAACCUUGAGGGCUUAUUGUGCUAUGAUGUCAGCCUCUGUCUUUUCCACACUCCUGUCUCCCAACUACUGCACAGCCUCUAGCAUCAUGGCCUCUGUUGCCCUCAGUCACCCUGGUGUUACACUCUGUCUCAGCUCUGUAGCCUUCCUGCUACCUGAAGGUUUUCCUUAACAUCAUGGUGGGUUAAGGCUGAGAGGGUGUCUGGGGAGUAUGGCACAAAGAAACCUAAAAGAAUGAGGAGACCCAGCGACCUGCUGCUGCGACCAUGGACUUACCUGCCUCCAUGCUGUCCUGACCGUGAUGGAUUGGAACCCUUCAGACUGUGAGCCCAGCAAACCUUUCCUGUCUCAAGCAGCUUCUUGUUGGGUGUUUGGUUACAGUGGUGAGAAAGAAGUCUAACUCGAAGAUGACUGUCCACUGCAGCAGCCAGUUAGGAAAGGUCUGCCCAUCAUGGCAGAUGUCCCCGCUAGAGCAACUCACCUUGCACUGACUGCUUCCCGUUCUCCUCGACAUUGCUUUCCCUUCUGCUCCGUUUUGCCUCCACAGGAUUGUACCUCCUCCAUAAAGCAUCUGCAC